rnacentral:tRNA from 1 species
GCGGGCAUGGCGGAAUGGUAGACGCGCUAGAUUUAGGUUCUAGUUUUUUCGGAAGUGAAGGUUCAAGUCCUUUUGCCCGCA